rnacentral:rRNA from 1 species
CCUACGGGGGCUGCAGUGGGGAAUAUUGCACAAUGGGGGAAACCCUGAUGCAGCACCGCCGCGUGAGUGAAGAAGUAUUUCGGUAUGUAAAGCUCUAUCAGCAGGGAAGAAGAUGACGGUACCUGAAUAAGAAGCCCCGGCUACCUACGUGCCAGCAGCCGCGGUAAUACGUAGGGGGCAAGCGUUAUCCGGAUUUACUGGGUGUAAAGGGAGCGCAGACGGCAGUGCAAGUCUGGAGUGAAAGCACGGGGCCCAACCCCGGAACUGCUCUGGAAACUGUGCGGCUAAAGGACUGGAGGGGCGGGCGGAAUUCCUAGUGUAGCGGUGAAAUGCGUAGAGAUUAGGAGGAACACCAGUGGCGAAGGAGGCCUGCUGGACAGUAACUGACGUUGAGGCUCGAAAGCGUGGGGAGCAAACAGGAGUAGAUACCCUUGUAGUC